CAAGUACGAGGUUGUGCUCAAGGCUAAGCCAUUUGCCUAUGCUCCAAAGACUCCUUACAAGGAGUGUGAAAAGCCGAAGCCAAAGCCGAAGCCUCCAACUCCUUACUACUAUACUUCUCCACCACCACCUACACCCGUUUAUAUCUAUAAAUCACCACCUCCUCCACCACCAACAUACGUCUACAAGUCACCACCACCUCCAUCCCACCCAUACAAGCCACCAACUGAGCCAUACAAACCACCACCAUACUACUACAAAUCUCCACCUCCACCAUCACCCUCCUACAUCUAUAAGUCACCACCCCCACCAACCCCCACUUACGUUUACAAAUCACCACCACCUCCAUCUCACCCAUACAAGCCACCAACUGAACCAUACAAACCACCACCAUACUACUACAAGUCCCCACCUCCACCAUCACCCACCUACGUCUACAAAUCACCACCACCUCCAUCUCACCCAUACAAGCCACCAACUGAGCCAUACAAACCACCACCAUACUACUACAAAUCUCCACCUCCACCAUCACCCACCUACGUCUACAAGUCACCACCCCCACCAACCCCUACUUACGUCUACAAAUCACCACCACCUCCAUCUCACCCAUACAAGCCACCAACUGAGCCACACAAACCACCACCAUACUACUACAAGUCACCACCUCCACCAUCGCCUACUUACAUCUACAAAUCACCACCACCUCCAUCUCACCCAUACAAGCCACCAACUGAGCCACACAAGCCACCACCAUACUACUACAAGUCACCACCUCCACCAUCGCCUACUUACAUCUACAAAUCACCACCACCUCCACCAUACUACUAUAAAUCCCCACCACCUCCAUCUCCAUCCCCACCUCCUCCAUACUAUUACGAGUCUCCACCACCACCAAAACACGAAGAAAAACCUCCAUACUACUACAAGUCUCCUCCACCUCCAUCUCCAUCCCCACCUCCUCCAUACUACUACAAGUCUCCACCACCUCCUCCACAUUACGUCUCACCACCAUACUAUUAUAAAUCUCCACCACCACCAUCGCCAUCUCCUCUUCCACCAUACUACUACAAAUCCCCGCCACCACCAGUCCAUUCUCCACCACCACCAUACUAUUACAAAUCUCCACCACCACCAUCGCCAUCUCCUCUUCCACCAUACUACUACAAAUCACCUCCACCUCCUUCACCCUCUCCCACACCCCCAUAUUAUUACAAGUCUCCACCACCACCAGUCCAUUCCCCUCCACCACCAUACUACUACAAAUCACCACCACCUCCAAUAAAGUCUCCAGCACCAGUCUACCACUACAACUCUCCUCCUCCACCAUCACCAUCUCCUCAUCCUCCAUAUUACUACAAAUCCCCACCACCUCCAUCUCCAUCACCAUUACCCCCAUAUUACUACAAAUCUCCUCCUCCACCGUCGCCAUCUCCUCUUCCACCCUAUUACUACAAAUCCCCACCACCACCAGUCCACUCUCCACCACCACCAUACUACUACAAGUCCCCACCACCACCAUCGCCAUCUCCUCUUCCACCAUACUACUACAAAUCCCCUCCACCUCCUUCACCCUCUCCUCCACCACCAUACUAUUACAAAUCACCACCACCUCCAGUAGAGGCUCCGGCACCAACCUAUCACUACAAAUCCCCACCACCACCAUACUACUACAACUCUCCCCCACCACCCCCAUAUUAUUACAAGUCCCCACCCCCACCUUCCCCAUCACCACCACCUCCCUACUACUACAAGUCUCCACCUCCACCUUCCCCGUCACCACCACAUCCUUACUAUUACAAAUCCCCACCUCCUCCCUCACCCUCACCCCUUCCCCCAUAUUACUACCACUCACCUCCCCCACCAGUGACAUCACCUCCACCUCCGGUCUACAUUUACGCUUCUCCUCCACCACCAACUCACUACUAGGCUCAGAAAGAUCAACCACAAAAUUACAUCGUUCAUGUAAGUAAUAGUUUAGUUAAACCUAUCAUUAUUAGUUAUCAUCCAACGAUUUAUUUCAUAUUCUAAUUACUUUUCUGCAUUUAAAUUUCAGGU
rnacentral:lncRNA from 1 species